rnacentral:pre_miRNA from 1 species
GGCUUCUUUCCGUGCUGAGAUUUCGUCACACACCAGAACACAAAGGUUGGUGAGAUUCCCAAGUGAAGCG